UAUAAAUAUCAGUAUGAAAUGUCAGUGGCUGCAAGUUCCACGCUCAGCUAAAAUUUUACCGACAUCUUAAAAUUUCCUUAAAACAUCUGGAAGUAAACAAACAAAAAGCACAGCCAGCUGCCAGGUGGCUCAGGCCCACAGGCCCAGCACCCAUUGAGAAUGCCUGGGCAAACCCAGCCCCUCCCCAGCACAGCUCUCACCAGCUGCUUCCCACGGGAGCAAAGCAAAGGGGCUACUUGGCCAUGCCAGUGGUGGGAGGUUAAGGCACAGGUUUUAAUCCCAAAGCUUAGCCAGCCAGAGUACAAGACGUGCUCCCAACAGGCUGCUGCACAGCUUGGGACAGCUCCCAAGCCUGCUUACAGGAGACCUUUGGAUGGACUGGGACUCACUGAGGGAUGUUCAGGAUCCCACACAGACUCUUCUGUGACUCCGGGCUAAUGCAAAGAAGAAUAUAAGAAAACUGAAUCUGAUUCUACUAAAAGGAGCUUUUUCUCACACAUGGAGUCAGGAAUGCAGAGGUGAAGGUUAACAACCAUAGCCAGAGCCUUCUCUGUAACAUUCAUGAGGAUUUAGGAAUUAGAUUAUUCCUAGUCCAGGUGAGGACUCUGUUCACAUCUGAACAGUAUGCACUAGUCUGCCAUACCUGAUGUUCACAGGCGGUUUCAUUUUCCUUUACAGGGAAAAUCUGUGGGAUCUAUGGUCCGGGCCAAGGCUGGAAUCCAAUGGUCUCCUGCUGGCUAACAGGACUUGUGCACAUAUUUGACUAGAAGCCACCAGGAUAAACUCAGAACACCAACAUUUGCCUCUACAAGGAACCACAUCUCCCAGAAGCGUUCCCUUGUUUUUCUGUUUUCCAGUAAUCCCACAUUGAGGAAAUAAGGACAUUGUAAUAAAUUAACUGCUUUGAACACCCAGGAAAGGAGAGAGGACACAUUUUACAGCAAUAGAGGUAUUUUUGACAUUUUCAUUAAUAUUUCCCAUGAAAAAAAAAACAUAGCUCUUCGGCUUUGCAAAACAAGGAAGGUUCAGCUCUGCCAUCAGUGUUUUCCUAUAAAAAUAAGGUUUUAUGUGUACUUGGGUUCUACAACUAAGCUGAAUAGAAAGGAGAGGGCUCUUACAAAUACUUCUGCUGUUGUAUGGCCCCUCCCUCUGGAGACACCUGCCAGAAGCAUUCAGCUGGCUCUGUAAGUCCCUUCUGGCAGACAAGCUGUAGCCCUGCUGAGUCUAGGGCUCCUUUGCAGGACACCUCUGGGACUUGGCAGGACUCCUGAGGAAUGACCUGCUGUCAUGUUCCACUGUAGAUUUUGCAUCAGGUAUGUUUUCUUCAUCAAGCUGAAAAGUGAGUCCUCAAAUGUGUGAGAUUUCUGCCUCUCCAGUGACGGAGAUUGCUCACAGGAGCUGCAGUCUCGCCUCUGCUCCAGCUUCUUACAGGAAGUCUAACUCAAGGGCUUGGUGAAGGGACACGAGGUCAGCGUGAUUUGUGAUCCUCCAGAACGGCAUGUUGUGCUGUGACAAAGAGAGGACAGUCAAGUUUAUCAGGGAUUUUCAGCUGAGGUGGAAGCAGCCAGGGUACACCUGCAGGGCUGUGCAGUGUGGUGGUUCUGAGCACACCACGCUCAGGAUGGAUAUUGGCCACCUGCACAUCUGUAUCUUAUCUGCACAUCUUGUAUGACAGGCACCAGCACUGACUGUCAGCUGCUCACGAUAAAAACCUUGGCUGUGAGCUGCUGCUGAAUCCAGGAAUGCCUGCCCAGGGCUCCCAGGGAACCUGCACAGGUGGCAGCUCUGGCACAUGGUAGAACGUGUGAAGCCUGCAGACAAGGUCCUGACAGUCGUCCGUGCACUUCACUGUUGUUAAUUAGCACAACUGAACAACUCAUCUAGGCCUGUCCAAAUCAAUCAAACUGCUCCUUGUUUGUAAUCCAGACUAAUAGCAGGUGCUGUAAUGAUGUGCUGCUGCCACUGAGCCCUGACUCCUCUGUGCUCCUGAGAAACUGCAUUAUCCUGAUAGCCCCAGGCUAUGAUCAGGACACAGAAUCAUCCAGGGUGGAAGAGACCUCCAAGAUCACUGAGUCCAACCUCUGAACAUGCUACAUCCAAUGUGCUACACCAAGACACUGCUUACAGGGACAUAUGCAAUCGUAAACAGCAGUAAAACAGAAACUUUAAACCCCCAAGAGCCAGAAAACAGCCCAUCUUAACAUGUGGAAGAUCUCUUGCCCCUGGCUGCCCCAGCCUGAAUUGUUCGGCCUUGGAACAAGAGUCCCUGCAGGCAAAGCCUGCUGCAGUGACUUCCCUUUGUAUUGCCCCCCAGCCACCUCUGCAGUCAGACCCACCUGCUUGGCUGCCACCUCCUCGUCGCGCCCGUCCCCGAUCACCACGUAAGUGACCUUCUUCCCAAACCGCGACACGAUCCUCUCGAAGCAGCUCUCUUUACCUGCCAACACAACCCACUGUUGAGGAGCCUUAGGCAGAGAGAAAUCGGAGUCUGAACAGGUCUUUUCCUUCCAGAAACACAUUCUUGUCUUACUGGGAGGGGAUAACACCCAGUUUAGCUCCUGAGCCAGAAGCCAUGACCAGCUGGACCACAGCAUGAAAUGGCACUUCCCAUGUAAAACUCCCUGCUAAUCCCCAGCACAUGCUGCUGUGCCAGAGACUUGGCACAACCCCUUACCUAUUUUUGUAGCACUAUAAAUAUUUUCAAUGGGAAACACUUCGCCCAAUCCAUACAGGAGAACUUUGGCAAGAGCUGGCAUCAGUUGGGUGGUUGUGAUCAGGAUGUUCUCACAGUUUUUUCUAAAAGAAGAAAAACACUUGUUACUGCACAUCUGUAGCCACUGGUGCCACGGCUGCUCCAGGCAGCCUGCUCGGCUUUCCCAAGUGCCACAUGCAUUGCCGUCCUGCUCUCAGGGGGCUUUUUAGGCCAAGGUUUUGUGAUUUUUGCUUGUUUACUUCUGGAAGAAUUCUCUGGUAGAAAAGUGAUUUGGUGAGCAUGGGGACCUUCCUAACUACAGGUGUUGCAGCAAAGAAAUCCUAAAGGGUGCUCAGGGAUGGAGUUCUUGCAGUCAGACACUUUGCCUCUCAGCAGCAGUGCUGCACGUGAACCCAAGGGCUGCGAAAGCCACGCACGCACUUCAAGGUUCCAUACCUGGACUGGAUGAGCAGCAGGGACUUUAAUGCAGUUUCUAGCCAGGAAUCUGUUAGCACUUCUAUAUCAGUCCUCAGUCGCUGGAGAGCUUCCCUCUUCUGUGGGCUAAGCAGGCCUGGAAGGUAAGGAACAUGUGUUUGCCCAGCUGAGCUGGCAAGUCUGACAAGGAGAGAGCUGUCCCCCAAUGCACCAGCUGCCUGCUCUGCAAUAAAUAACACAGAACUGAAGGCCUCUGGAAGCUGGACUGUCUGUCUUGAAGCAGCAAGAGAAACCAGCUUCCAGUGACAUGGAUGAGCCCAGACAUCCAUCCAGGAGUCUGACUGUGGGGAACUGGGCAGAUGCUUUUCUCCGAUUGUUUCAAAGACUUCUCAGGAUACAGGCAAUCAAAUGCACUUCUCUCAUACAAAGCACUCACAGCAGCAGGGGUCCAAGGCCAUAGAGCAGGGGAAAGAACUCCUCCAGUCACCCCCUCUGACAUCAUUCUUCCCAAGGACCCUUUCCACUUUAACCCCUUUUAUGUAUCUUUUUUAAACUGCCCUCCUUUUUUUUUUAUUCCCGUGUUUGUAAUCUCUUUUCGAUAUACUUUUCUCCAAGCCUCCAGUUUUGAAUUAAAAGCAGCCAGAAAUGGAGUCCAUACAGUCAAACUUGCUGCUAUCAGUAAACACAACAAGAAAGGAGCACAUGGAGCCUGCACCUCCCUUCCAGCCGUGACGUUCGAGCUCCCUCAUUCCAGUCCUGUAGUGCACCAGUCCCCUGCACUGAGGCCAUGGAAGAACCCACAGCAGGCUGCACCCACAGCUGCUUUACCAUGGGGCUUUACACAGGUCCUGAAAAACUCUGCAUCCAGGUUUCCCACAUGCAAAAUACAGAAUCAUGGUCUGAUCCCUGCCAGAAAUCAGGUAGCUCCAGCACACUGAACUGCAGACUUACACCGACGGGGCUGAAAGCUGUAGUUUUGAACACCUGUUUUUUAGAACAUUUGUCCAAGAAAAUGAUCUAUCAAGUGUUUUUUUUGUGUAGGCAAAGGGUACCCAAAUCCACAACCCACCAGGCCGAGUCACCCUGCAGGGUGAGCCGCUCCAGCAACAUCCCUUUUCCAGGGACAGCAAUGCCAAGAUUCAGACUAAACAGAAAACUCCUCUCCAUUUGCUCACUGUGGUUUGCAUCAUUAUGACUGCUUUGGAGCUGGAAAGGAAGCAAAACUGAAAGGUUUUAAGUGAUAUUGUGAAAAGAUAGAGAUGUCAUGUCAGACCGUGGACCCAGCAGCCCAGGGGUGACCACUGUGUUUCCUGACAAUGACAUGACAAAAAGCAGACUUUGUGAAGACAUGAAUGACACCUCCUGAGAGGAAGGGCAAGAUCAGUGGAAGUAAAGUACUCACCAGUCCAGAAUGCAAGUACA